CCUACGGGGGGCAGCAGUGAGGAAUAUUGGUCAAUGGACGAGAGUCAGAACCAGCCAAGUAGCGUGAAGGAUGACUGCCCUAUGGGUUGUAAACUUCUUUUAUAUGGGAAUAAAACGUUCCACGUGUGGGAGUUUGUAUGUACCAUAUGAAUAAGGAUCGGCUAACUCCGUGCCAGCAGCCGCGGGAAUACGGAGGCUCCGAGCGUUAUCCGGAUUUAUGGGGUUUAAAGGGAGCGUAGGGGGAUUGUUAAGUCAGUUGUGAAAGUUUUCGGCUCAACCGUAAAAUUGCAGUUGACACUGGCAGUCGUGAGUACAGUAGAGGUGGGCGGAAUUCGUGGUGUAGCGGUGAAAUGCUUAGAUAUCACGAAGAACUCCGAUUGCGAAGGCAGUUCACUGGACUGCAACUGACACUGAGGCUCGAAAGUGUGGGUAUCAAACAGGAUUAGAUACCCUGGUAGUC
rnacentral:rRNA from 1 species